UACAGAGGUCCCAAGCGUUGUUCGGAUUCACUGGGCGUAAAGGGCGCGUAGGUGGCCCGGUCAGUCCGUGGUGAAAGCGCGGGGCUCAACCCUGCGUCGGCCAUGGAUACUGCCGCGGCUCGAGCACUGUAGAGGCAGGCGGAAUUCCGGGUGUAGCGGUGGAAUGCGUAGAGAUCCGGAAGAACACCGGUGGCGAAGGCGGCCUGCUGGGCAGUUUGGCUGACACUGAGGCGCGACAGCGUGGGGAGCA
rnacentral:rRNA from 1 species